rnacentral:rRNA from 1 species
UACGUAGGGCGCAAGCGUUGUCCGGAAUUAUUGGGCGUAAAGAGCUCGUAGGCGCCUGUCGCGUCUGCUGUGAAAUCCCGGGGCUAACCCCGGGCGUGCAGUGGAUACGGGCUGGCUGGAGGCAGGCAGGGGAGAACGGAAUUCCCGGUGUAGCGGUGAAAUGCGCAGAUAUCAGGAGGAACACCGGUGGCGAAGGCGGUUCUCUGGGCAUGAUCUGACGCUGAGGAGCGAAAGUGUGGGGAGCGAACAGG